rnacentral:rRNA from 1 species
CAUCUCCUUGUGAUAUAAUAUAAGGUAUAGCCUGCUCUAUGAAUUAUUUUAAAUGGCCGCGGUAUUUUGACCGUGCGAAGGUAGCAUAAUCAUUAGUCUUUUAAUUGAAGGCUGGUAUGAAUGGCUGGACGAGAAAAUUUCUGUCUCUAUUGUAAAAUUUGAAUUUUAUUUUUAAGUGAAAAAGCUUAGAUAAUUUUGAGGGACGAUAAGACCCUAUGGAUCUUUAUAUGAAUUUAUAAUAAAAAGAUUGGUUAGUUACGGCUUGUUAUAAAUAAAUAUUAUGUUGGGGCGACUGAAAGAAAUAUAUAUCUCUUUUUAAUAAUAAAUAUAAAUUUAUAGAAAUAUAAUGACCCUUGAUUUUGGUUUAUAAGACUAAGUUACCCUAGGGAUAACAGCGUAAUUUUUUCGGAGAGUUCUUAUCGAUGAGAAUGUUUGCGACCUCGAUGUUGGAUUAAGAUAUCCUUAUGGCGCAGCUGUUAUAAAGGAAAGUCUGUUCGACUUUUAAAUUCUUACGUGAUCU